AAAGUUAAGAAAGUGAUCCUGAAAAUACAAACCAUUCAAAUCUUAGUCUCAAUGCAAAAUAUGAUAAAAUAAAAUAAAAAUAAAAAUAAAUAAAUGCGAAAAAGUAAAAUGAAAGAAAAACCAUGAGUUGCCUCCCACGUAGCGCUUGUUUAACGUCAUUAGCUUGACGAUUAGAAUUUAUACACCUGUAGUAGUAGGAAUUGGUGGAUCAAUCAGGGUGUGGCU
rnacentral:lncRNA from 1 species